rnacentral:tRNA from 1 species
UGGGCGUUGGCGUAGGCGGCGAAACCGGUGCCCUUGACCCCGGAGCCGUCGCCCGCGGCGGUGGACAGCUGGGUCACGACCAUGGCGCCCAGC